UAGAAGCGCAGCACUCAAAUCAAGAAUACAAAGAGACAUUAGAUGAGAGGAACAAAACUAUGGGAAGCUCCAAGGAGAUUUCAUCAUCAUCAUCAUCAGCAGUCUCACCGGCUCUAUGCCCUGGUCAUGAAGAUGGUGGGUUUCGUUUGAUUAUGCGUGACAAAGAAUAUGGGUUGCAUGGUAAAAUCCUGAUGCUUGUUCUGAAAAAAAUUGCCACUUAAUUUUAUGGCUAAGGAAACCAAGAAGAGUUGAGGGUGGUGCUGCAACAGGAGAGUGCCUAAAUUGCAAUAACCAAAUUAGCAGAAAAUUUCCCUUACAAUAUCAAAGCAAGAUUAUUAGGAGUGUGAAAUGAGAAAAAAGCAGUACUCUGUUUACUCUAAUUGCUUAAAGAACGAAGAUAAUAUUGUAGCUGCGAGUAUCUAUCUUAAUGGGACUAGAAUAUUCAUAAUUUUGUGCUGUUUUGGAUAAUAUCUUCUUGUUUUUGUUCUUUCAUGGUGUAACAUGAAAAAUAAAAUUAUGUUUCCUCCUGUUUA